rnacentral:rRNA from 2 species
GGAUGCGAUCAUACCAGCACUAAUGCACCGGAUCCCAUUAGAACUCCGCAGCUAAGCGUGCUUGGGUGAGAGUAGUACUAGGAUGGGUGACUCCUAUGAAGUCCUCGUGCAGCUUCCC